GCCAGUGUGGCUCAGUUGGUUGGAGCAUUGUCUUAUGCACAGAAGAGUAAGGGUUCAAUUCCCUGUCAGGGCA
rnacentral:tRNA from 1 species